AUUGAACGCUGGCGGCAGGCCUAACACAUGCAAGUCGAGCGGAUGAAGGGAGCUUGCUCCUGGAUUCAGCGGCGGACGGGUGAGUAAUGCCUAGGAAUCUGCCUGGUAGUGGGGGAUAACGUCCGGAAACGGGCGCUAAUACCGCAUACGUCCUGAGGGAGAAAGUGGGGAUCUUCGGACCCCACGCUAUCAGAUGAGCCUAGGUCGGAUUAGCUAGUUGGUGGGGUAAAGGCCUACCAAGGCGACGAUCCGUAACUGGUCUGAGAGGAUGAUCAGUCACACUGGAACUGAGACACGGUCCAGACUCCUACGGGAGGCAGCAGUGGGGAAUAUUGGACAAUGGGCGAAAGCCUGAUCCAGCCAUGCCGCGUGUGUGAAGAAGGUCUUCGGAUUGUAAAGCACUUUAAGUUGGGAGGAAGGGCAGUAAGUUAAUACCUUGCUGUUUUGACGUUACCAACAGAAUAAGCACCGGCUAACUUCGUG
rnacentral:rRNA from 1 species